rnacentral:rRNA from 1 species
GACGAACGCUGGCGGCGUGCUUAACACAUGCAAGUCGAACGGAAAGGCCCUGCUUUUGUGGGGUGCUCGAGUGGCGAACGGGUGAGUAACACGUGAGUAACCUGCCCUUGACUUUGGGAUAACUUCAGGAAACUGGGGCUAAUACCGGAUAGGAGCUCCUGCUGCAUGGUGGGGGUUGGAUAGUUUCGGCGGUUGGGGAUGGACUCGCGGCUUAUCAGCUUGUUGGUGGGGUAGUGGCUUACCAAGGCUUUGACGGGUAGCCGGCCUGAGAGGGUGACCGGCCACAUUGGGACUGAGAUACGGCCCAGACUCCUACGGGAGGCAGCAGUGGGGAAUAUUGCACAAUGGGCGGAAGCCUGAUGCAGCAACGCCGCGUGCGGGAUGACGGCCUUCGGGUUGUAAACCGCUUUCGCCUGUGACGAAGCGUGAGAGGCGGUAAUGGGUAAAGAAGCACCGGCUAACUACGUG